CAGCCGCCACGGUAAUACGAAGGGGGCAAGCGUUGUUCGGAAUUAUUGGGCGUAAAGGGUGCGUAGGCGGCUUGACAAGUCUUGUGUGAAAUCUAUGGGCUCAACCCAUAGUCUGCACGGGAAACUGUCGGGCUUGAGAAUGGGAGAGGUGAGUGGAAUUUCCGGUGUAGCGGUGAAAUGCGUAGAUAUCGGAAGGAACACCUGUGGCGAAAGCGGCUCACUGGACCAUUUCUGACGCUGAUGCACGAAAGCUAGAGGAGCAAACAGGAUUAGAUACCCCAGUAGUCCCUGUCUCUUAUAC
rnacentral:rRNA from 1 species